GUUUUUAAGAUGGGUCUCCCUUUUCUCAGAUCUUAUUUAAAUCACCAGUUUAUUUAGGGUUUCAUCUCUAUCUUCUCUCCUCUUUGGUUGCGAAAAAUUUGCAGCCUCUCUUUUGUACAGGCCGCCGUCGAAAUUAGGAGAUGUCGAAGAUUUUUCAGACCAGAAGUGUCCUGAGUUUUACCAUUAUUCAAUUUUUAGGUUUUUGCUAGCGAUCUUACAUGUGUUUUUUUUAGAGAUUGGAGACGCUACAAUCUAAGAAUGGGGAAGAGGUCGAUCGUGUCUUUUUUGUUCCGUUUCUCCCUUAUGUUUCUUCUUCAGAUCUAGCUGCGAUAUUAUUCAUUUGUAGUUCUCGGUAACACUUCCAUGUAUAUCGCUUGAUUCGAAUUUAGUAUUGGUUGUCGCCAAGUCUUCUUCCGGA